UGCAAGUCCAAUUUACACAAUGUUGAUAAAGACGACAUUGUGUCCGCUUGUAAGACGUAUUAUGAGAUGGUACGCAGGAGCUGAAGCUGCCAAGAGUUCAGCUCGGAGUCGAGCUAGAAGAAAGAGGCUGCUGGAAUCGAGGCAGAGUGUGCAGGCGGAUGUGGAAGUGGAACUCUGGAAGUCCGCCACCAUCGACCUCAUGUCUGGCGAAGAAGAUGGCGUCGUUGGCGGAGUCUCCGGAUGGAUUGUACCAUAGACAUAAUAUAUAUGUCUAUGGAUUGUACGGCCGCCGUCUUUUCGUAGGGUUGUGCGCAAUUCUGUUCCCCCGUGAAAAUCUGUUUCCCCUGUGUCGGGAACGC